ACAUUCUGAGUUCUCUGAGCCCUCCAAGAGAGAGAGUGAGAGAGAGAAAAGCCCUUGUGGAUUCUCUGAACCAAUCGCACAUCUCUGUAGAACUUUCAUAUUUGGAGUUUCACCAUCAAAAUGUCGCCAUAUUCCCUUCUCUAGGGUUUCUCUACUGUCUUUCUCUAUCUCUCUCACCUUGCUAUAAUCGGCGGCUUUCUGUUCUCUGCGGUUUCGAUAUCAAAUCCAUUAUUUUUUCUUUUGCCCCCAAUUUCGUUUUUAGCCACAGAACUUUAUCGAAUCUAUUUAUUCGAUAAAUCUCUCACUAUCUGAAUCUUCAUCGCAAUUUAUUUCUUCUUUUUUUUCUUUUUUUUGAGCUGUUCGUGGAAAUCUUAGGUUUAUAGCUGGAUUAAAUUGGCUAUCAGACUCUUUUGUUUGCUGUUGGAAACGAUUUUGUGAUUUGGGAAUCUGUUGGAUUUGCACUACUAUAAAAUUUCCCAUCUAGGUAAUGGUAAUUUCUUUCCGAAACGAAGAAAAUUGCUCGAAAUUUCAUCUGGGUCAGGGUCAAGUCUUGAACUUUCGCUGAAAAACCUGCUCUGUUCUGCAAUUUCAAUCUCGUAAUGGACGACGGGGAGCUGGAUUUCUCGAACCAAGAAGUGUUUUCGAGUCCAAACAUGGGAGGUGGUGAGCUUCCCAGCAGUUGUUCAAUGGACAGCUUCUUCGAUGAGCUUUUCAAGGACACUCACGCUUGCACUCACACCCACACUUGCAACCCUCCAGGCCCUGAUUACUCUCAUACCCACACCUGUUUCCAUGUCCACACCAAGAUUGUCCCUGCUUCAUCCGAAGACAAAGCUGCAACAGAUGACACUGCGGAAUCAGCAGAGAAGAAGUCCAAGAAACGCCCUAUGGGCAAUCGUGAAGCGGUUCGUAAGUAUAGGGAGAAAAAGAAGGCAAGGGCAGCUUCUUUGGAAGAUGAAGUUGUGAGAUUGAGAGCUUUGAAUCAGCAACUGUUGAAGAGGUUACAGGGUCAGGCUGCUUUGGAGGCUGAGAUUGCGAGGCUUAAGUGUUUGCUUGUGGACAUUAGAGGGAGGAUUGAAGGGGAGAUUGGAUCUUUUCCUUAUCAGAAAUCUGUUAGUCCCAACAUGCCUAACCAAAGCAUGACCGGUGCACAUGCUUAUGUGAUGAAUCCAUGUAAUGUACAGUGUGAAGACCAGGUCUAUUGCCUGCACCCGGAGAUGGAUGGCAAAUGCGGAGAUGGUGUUGCAUUGAAUGGUCAAGGUUUAAGCGGUUGUGAAUUUGAGAGUCUUCAAUGUCUGGCGAAUCAGAACCCGGGGAAGGAGCUUACUGGUUGUGGAGUUCGGAAUGUGGCAUCUAAUGCCAAUUCCUCUAGCUCAAAUAAGAGGAAAGGAGGGGCUCAUGCAGCAACAGCCAGUUGAAUUGCUGAUAAGGGGUGUUGUCCUAAUCAUCUAGAGUACAUAUUCUCUUUCAAUAAGCAGUAUGUCAGCCUGCAGCAUCAUCCUUCCCUCAGACAUAGGAAGAUGGAAUGUCUUUCAUGUUUCAAUAAUAUGAGCUGUAAACAGAGUUAUGCCAUCCACAGUAAAUGAUUGAUGGAUGGGUUGAUCGCACAAUGUAAUAUAUUUAUGCAUCUGAUCAUUGGUACCUCUUGCCACCAUUGGGUGAAAAACGAAGAUGGCAGAAACAAAGAUCUCUGUGUAGGCACAUAUGGCCUUUCAAUGGUUGUUUAAUUCACCGAAUGAUGUGCUUAUGCUGGCUAAUUUGUUUGUCCGAACAAGUAUUAUUUGGACGGUAAACUUUUCUAAACCUAAUGUUAGAGGUGUUGUUUGAGUUUUCAUCCAUUUGAUGUUUCCUGGUUAAUAUAAAGAGAAAAAUUUGAUUCAA